rnacentral:rRNA from 1 species
GCGAGUGAAGCGGGAACAGCCCAAAUUUUAAAUCGGCAUUUGUGUGUCGAAUUGUAAUUUAAAGAGACGUACACCGCGUCGCGACUUGGUAAAAGUCCCUUGGAAUGAGGCAUCGCAGAGGGUGAUAAUCCCGUAGCAUUGCUGAUGUCGCGUGCGCCUUGUGUUGCGUCUUCAAAGAGUCGAGUUGUUUGGGAUUGCAGCUCCAAAUGGGUGGUAAAUUCCAUCUAAGGCUAAAUAACGGCAAGAGACCGAUAGCGAACAAGUACCGUGAGGGAAAGAUGAAAAGAACUUUGAAAAGAGAGUUAAACAGUACGUGAAAUUGUUGAAAGGGAAACGAUUGAGGCCAGUCGUGCUGGCGAGAAAUCAAUCGGUUUGGCAGUCCCAUGUGGGCGGUUUAUUCCGGUGCACUUUUUCGUUGGCUGGUUAGCAUCAGUUUUGUUUGUUGUAAAAUGGUAGUUGGAAUGUGACUCUUUCGGGAGUGUUAUAGCCAAUUUCAGAUGCAAUGAAUGGGACUGAGGAUUGCGGCAAAUGCCUUUGGGGUACGUACCUGUUCUCUGAACGGCCCACAAGUGAGCGACAGCUUGCUGAUGUUUAUUUGUUGGGCCCUCAACGGAAUAGAGUGUGUUAAAUUUGCCAAGGAUGC